GAGCUCUCCGACUACUAGGCUGCAGAGCGCUUAUUCCACGGCAGACCAGGACAGAAGCCACUAUGAGUGGGAGAAGCCAGAGGAUGUCGCCUGACCACAUGCCAGCUCAUAAAUGCUGUUUACCAUUUGUUAGAUGGUACAUGCAGGGAACUGCCGUGGAACCCAAAGCUUUGGAAAAGUAAUUAGCUUUUAUAUUAAAGAGCAAAACUAUUUCAUAUUUAAACCCAUUGGUCAUACGCAAUAAAUUUUAAUGUUUA